CGAGCAUUCUUGUAACAGACACGGAGAGCGAAACAUCGUAAUACUACUCACCUAGACGUUCAGUGUCUUGUCACAUCUCUCAAAGCUAAUCAUGUAUUCCAGACAAGUUGUUAUCGCAUUGCUUGUAACAGUGGUGAUCUGCAUCCAGUCAACCAACGCAGUGAACAUCUGCAAAACAAAGGCUGGACUGCGCAUGAAAAGUUGUCGCGGAAGACCAGGGAAGCGCACUGACAAAACGACCGUGUCGAACGCCGUCUUUGCUUUACUGCGAGCAGCCACUGAGAUCAUUGAAGAUAUGUCAGCUGAUGAGAUCAACUCUCUCUUAGAGGAUAUGUCAGAUUCCAGUGACGAGGACGAUAAACUCGCAUAUGAUGUUGACGAAGAACCGAACAUCUAAAUGUGAAAUAAUUUCUUCAUUGUCCUAAAUUAAAGGAUUUACAUUUACUGUUAUCUGGAUUUAAUUUACAUUCUCGAUGGACCAUGUCACAUGACUACUGGAGAGUGAUGUCGUCUGGAAAUUAUCCCAACGCAGACACGUCAAACGAUGGUUGGAUAAGAUUCGUAGUAGAUUUACAUAAUGGCCACAACACUUAGUAUCAAGUCUGUUCUGAGAUGAAGUUAUUUAGUGCGUAGUUAACUUCCGGGGUGAUCUUCCCAUACAUGCUAAAUUGUCAUCAAUUGUAUCCAUGACGACCAUGUGAUGUGAUCCAGUUACUAUUUUGUGUAAUCUGGAUCUUAAUGUACUUUUUCAACCUGUAUAUUUCUGUGUGUCUGUAGAAAUAAAAGUCAUAUUUUAAAAAUUU